CGCCGCUAGAGGGCGCGAGAGUCCGCGAGCGAAAGGCUGCGCUCCAAGCCUUCGCGGAUGCUGUAGUCUUGUGGUGGAGAAGAUUCUGAGAGAAGAUUCUGAGAGUCCCUCGGACUACAAGGAUAUCCAACCAAUCCAUCCUAAAGGAAAUCAGUCCUGAAUAUUCAUUGGAAGGACUGACGCUGAAGCUGAAACUCCAAUACUUUGGCCAUCUGAUGCAGAGAAAUGGCUAAUUGGAAAAGACCCUAAUUCUGGGAAAGGUUGAAGGCAGGAGGAGAAGGGGAUGACAGAGGAUGAGAUGGCUGGAUGGCAUCACCGACUCGAUGGACAUGAAUUUGAGUAAACUCCGGGAGUUGGUGAUGGACAGGAAAGCCUGGUGUGCUGCAGUUCAUGGGGUUGCAAACAGCCGGACACGACUGAGCAACUGAGCUGAACUGAGAAGGGCCGGACUCUCCCGGUUUCGAUGGCAACGCCAGAGUCUCGCGCAUCUCUGGCUCCUCCUAAGGUUCUUUCAUUGACACAUGAGAGAAAUUAAAAGAUCUGCUUUCUCAAUCUCCCACAUGUAGAGAUGCUAAAAAAGAUGAUACAUCAGUAUCAGAGGAUUCCGACUCAGGGCAUAAAUCCAAGGGAGAAAUACUCAACAGAGCUCAGGAAGGCAGCCAUGAGUAAAACUGAGAAGUCCCACUCCAGCAAGCCAUUUCCUUUGGAAAUGUAACAGUUCUAUUCCCAGCCUCGAGGUCCUCCCUCACCAUUUGUCCCUUCUAUUGGAUGCGGAGGAACCAGAGGAGGAUACUAAGAGCAGAAAAGGUGCCGGAGCCACCGGAUGGAAAGGACUCGAAGCUUGAGUGCCUGAAAGACUGUGUGGGGUAAAUUUCUACUUACUUCAUUUACCUCAGGCCAACCAAUCAAAUUGGACUGCAAG
ensembl:lncRNA